CCUACGGGUGGCAGCAGUGAGGAAUAUUGGUCAAUGGACGCAAGUCUGAACCAGCCAUGCCGCGUGCAGGAAGACGGCUCUAUGAGUUGUAAACUGUUUUUGUACGAGGGUAAACGUUGAUACGCGUAUCUUUCUGAAUGUACCGUACGAAUAUGGAUCGGCUAACUCCGUGCCAGCCGCCGCGGCAAUACGGAGGAUUCAAGCGUUAUCCGGAUUUAUUGGGUGUAAAGGGUGCGUAGGCGGUCGGAUAAGUUAGAGGUGAAAUCCCGUGGCUCAACUUCGGAAUUGCCUCUGAUACUGGUAGGCUAGAGAGUAGUUGCGGUAGGCAGAAUGUAUGGUGUAGCGGUGAAAUGCGUAGAGAUCAGACAGAACACCGAUUGCGAAGGCAGCUUAC
rnacentral:rRNA from 1 species